rnacentral:rRNA from 1 species
UACGUAGGGUGCGAGCGUUAAUCGGAAUUACUGGGCGUAAAGCGUGCGCAGGCGGUUUUGUAAGCCAGAUGUGAAAUCCCCGGGCUCAACCUGGGAAUGGCAUUUGGGACUGCAAGGCUUGAGUGCGGCAGAGGGGGGUAGAAUUCCACGUGUAGCAGUGAAAUGCGUAGAGAUGUGGAGGAACACCGAUGGCGAAGGCAGCCCCCUGGGUCAAAACUGACGCUCAUGCACGAAAGCGUGGGGAGCAAACAGG